UACGUCGGGGGCAAGCGUUGUCCGGAUUUAUUGGGCGUAAAGAGCGUGUAGGCGGCUUUACAGGUCCGUUGUGAAAACUCGAGGCUCAACCUCGAGACGCCGGUGGAAACCGUAAAGCUAGAGUCCGGAAGAGGAGAGUGGAAUUCCUGGUGUAGCGGUGAAAUGCGCAGAUAUCAGGAAGAACACCAAUGGCGAAGGCAGCUCUCUGGGACGGUACUGACACUGAGACGCGAAAGCGUGGGGAGCGAACAGG
rnacentral:rRNA from 1 species